AGGACCGCGGAGGCCGCACACAGGCCACCGGCGGUCCCGCUCCACCAGGGCUUUGGAGUAAGCCCCAAGGAACACCGUGGAGCUUACUUUCGAGUAAAUGUGUAUAGGAUCGUGCUGCAGAAAGCUCUGUGUCUUUCUCCGAGAACUCUGAACUCUCCUUCCAAGCUUCAGCCGAAAUCACUAUUUCUUCGCUAUCUACUGUUUCGAGACUUAGAGCUUACCCAAAGAUGUUCCAGUUCAAGGCACCUUGGCUGGGAAGGCAAAAACAGAUGACAACAUUGGCAGAACUCUUUUCCCGACAAUCGUCACAAAAGCAUGACACUACAACCAGAGCACGGUGGUGAAAACAAAAUGGUGACCUCUGACAAAUGAUCUGUUGCUGCCUGAUUAUAGAAAAG